rnacentral:rRNA from 1 species
UAACGAAUCUUCCGCAAUGUACGCAAGUAUGACGGAGCGACGCCGCGUGUGGGACGAAGUCCUUCGGGAUGUAAACCACUGUCAGGGGUUACCAAGUUCUGAGGAGCCCCAGAGGAAGGCACGGCUAACUCUGUGCCAGCAGCCGCGGUAAGACAGAGGUGCCGAGCGUUAGGCGGAAUCACUGGGCUUAAAGCGUGUGUAGGCGGGCCGUUAAGUGUCUUGUGAAAUCCCCCGGCUCAACCGGGGAAUGGCUGGGCAUACUGACGGUCUUGAGCAGUUCAGGGGCAGAUGGAACAAGUGGUGGAGCGGUGAAAUGCGUAGAUAUCACUUGGAACGCCAACGGUGAAAACAGUCUGCUGGGAACUUGCUGACGCUGAGACACGAAAGCCAGGGGAGCGAACGGGAUUAGAUACCCCCGUAGUCC